ACGACCACAUUAUGUUAAAACACCGUUUUCCGUACGAUCAUCGAAGUUAAGCAACGUCGAGCCUGGUCAGUGCCUAAAUGGGUAACCGCUUGAGAAUACUAGGUGCUGUAAG